rnacentral:rRNA from 1 species
UGACGUCAAAUCAUCAUGCCCCUUAUGACCUGGGCUACACACGUGCUACAAUGGCCGGUACAAAGAGUUGCGAAACUGUGAAGUUAAGCUAAUCUCAUAAAGCCGGUCUCAGUUCCGGAUUGUAGUCUGCAACUCGACUACAUGAAGUCGGAAUCGCUAGUAAUCGCGAAUCAGAAUGUCGCGGUGAAUACGUUCUCGAGUCCUU